UGAGUUUGAAUUGAAUUUGAACAUCUCAAUGUGUGGCAGUCAAGCUUAGUAUAUUACUGCUAGUUAGUUGCAAGUCUUUAAAUACUGGUUAGGUGUAAUGUAGUAAACUUCCUCCAUAAAAAAUCAUUGUAUAUCACCAGCAGCUUAUUAACACUUCCUAUGUUUUGUACACCAGAUACACCAAAUAAUUGCUAAUUAAAUCAAUUAAAGCUUUUAUAUAGAGCUACUUUCAUGCUUAUAGUAUGCUCAGAGCACUGUGGACCAGGUUGGGGGGGG